rnacentral:rRNA from 1 species
UACGAGAGGCCCAAACGUUAUUCGGAAUUACUGGGCUUAAAGAGUCCGUAGGCGGCGCGGAAAGUGGGGUGUGAAAUCCCUCGGCUUAACCGGGGAACUGCGUCUGAUACUGGAUGGCUUGAGUUCGGGAGAGGGAUGCGGAAUUCCAGGUGUAGCGGUGAAAUGCGUAGAUAUCUGGAGGAACACCGAUGGCGAAGGCAGCCCCUUGGACCUGUACUGACGCUCAUGCACGAAAGCGUGGGGAGCAAACAGG